UGGGGAAUCUUGCGCAAUGGGCGAAAGCCUGACGCAGCGACGCCGCGUGAGCGAUGAAGGCCUUCGGGUCGUAAAGCUCUGUGGGGAGGGAAGAAUAAGGGCUGGCUAAUAUCCAGCUCGAUGACGGUACCUCCUUAGCAAGCACCGGCUAACUCUGUGCCAGCAGCCGCGGUAAUACAGAGGGUGCAAACGUUGUUCGGAAUUACUGGGCGUAAAGCGCGUGCAGGCGGCUUUGCAAGUCGGACGUGAAAUCCCAUGGCUCAACCAUGGAAGUGCAUUCGAAACUGCGAGGCUGGAGUCCUGGAGAGGAAAGUGGAAUACUCGGUGUAGAGGUGAAAUUCGUAGAUAUCGAGUGGAACACCGGUGGCGAAGGCGGCUUUCUGGACAGGUACUGACGCUGAGACGCGAAAGCGUGGGGAGCAAACAGGAUUAGAUACCCUGGUAGUCCACGCCGUAAACGAUGAGUGCUAGGUGUCACGGGU
rnacentral:rRNA from 1 species